AGCCAGCGGGAGGCAGGUGGGGCUCGGCGAGGGGCGAAGCUGCCCCCGGGGCGGGGAAGGUCAGACGGCACCUGGAGCCGGCACGGAGGAAGUGAGCGGCGGCCCCCGCCGGGCUGGGAACCGGAGGAGCGGCGGGAAGGGGGCUGGGAGCCGCAGGAGGAGUAACCCGGCCGAGCUGUGGAGGCCAUUUCCCGGCGGGAAAACACGCCCGUGGGUGGAAACACGGCUGCUGGUCUUGAAGAGCUCUAGAGUCUUCUCUGGAGCAGGAACCUGACAUUUUGUACCAAAGUAGCCUAAAACCAGCCUCAAGGUCAUACUGCCACUUGAAAAAUUAAUGCAUCAAACAUUUAACACCUGGUUUCAUAGCUGAAACUUGCAGCAUGUUUUGAAGGCAGCCAAGAAGGAACUUUAAUGGCUCUCCUGGAAGUUGUUCAAAAACCGCUCCCAUUGACUGCUUCAGACAUUGUAUAAGGCCCCAAAAGCAGUCUCCAGGGAGGUGUAAGUUGCAGGUCUAGGCUGCAGGCAUCACAUCUGGACCAGGAGGAAGAAAUAACUCUCAUGUGUGGGCUGCUGUUCAGUAUCAGUGCAAAACCAAGACAUGAGAAAGAGGCGAGGGUUGGGAUAAUAACUGCUAGCAGACAGCUGGGAUCGACUGAAGUAAGGAAACCGUUAAAAAGGAAUCGCAGCAUCAAAGCAUCAUUUUUCACUUUGUAAAUUCAGCUCAAGUAUGUCUAUGGUGUCAUUUGUCCUGAAGAUUUCAAUUCCUGUGCUCCAUCAGAGUGCUAAUGUCUCUAGAGAGGGACCUAUCACUGAACUGCAGGCAUCUCCAGGGUGUAAAACAACAGCAGCUCAUGAACAUGUGAGAAAGAAGUUUCAGUAAAAUAACAGAGCAGUUGGGGAGGACUGUAGGAAGGCUGUACAAACAACACAGCACAAUAAGCCAAGCAAGCUGCAUCUUGAUCAUGUUCUUGCCUUUGAGAUACGUGAUUCUGAAAAAAAAAAUUGCCAUUGUUAUCAGUACUGCACUGGGGUGAACACACAAGCUUUGCAGAUCUUUAUAGCCAUCACCUGGUGACAGGAAGCUGUCAAAUGAGAAAUGCAGUAAUAGUUACAGUAGACACUGAAGACGAACAGUGAAAAUGAUGAGCAUUUCAUGAAAGGAAAGACACCCCCCCCCCCUUUCAUAAUAAGAAAAUCUUUUGAGGAUAGUCCACAUGUUUCAGCGGCAGCUGCUUUGCUGAUUAUUGCAGGCCAAAAUGUUAUCUCGAUACACGCCUACUUAACAAUAGCAGUUGGGUUAAUGAAGAGAAGGUUACACUUUGGUUCAUGUGCCUUUUGAAAAGUGGAAUAAACAACUAUCUUUAUUCCCUUGGGAGAAAAAAAAAGUGCAAAUUCUGCCAGCUGUUUUGUAAUAUGAGAGUGCUUUACAUGGUGUAUUUUCACAGCUGUCUUAUCAGUUUCCUAAAAUGAAUCAGGGUGGAGCAAACAGUUUAGGAAUGUCAUGAAAAAAGGAUUUGGAGCUUUGCUGUGGUUCAUGAUAAUGAUGCCCUCUUGGGAUAGUGGAUCAGAGUUGGAAGAUCCUACUGGAGAUAGGAAUCAUGCUUGUAAAAUAUUCUCACACAAAAUUCAGCAGCUAUUGCGUCUAAACUCUGGAUGGAGACAUCCUCUCCACUCUUUAUGGUGGUUUGACUUGGAGCAUUUUUCAGACGGAAGGUGUUUCCACAUGUCCUGCUGUGAGAUUUGCUUCUGCAAAACACGGCAGUUCCUGUCGCUGUAACUCAUGUUGGUGGGAGCUGAGGGAUCUUGAAACUCUGUGGACCUGAGCGCUUGCUAGUUGAGAUCAUCAGCUCCAACUAAACCAACUGCUAAAGGUCAGGUCUUUUCCCCACUGAAGAUGGUGGGAGAACCCUGAGUGAUUUCAGUGGGUUCAGCAUCAUAAACGAAACCCCAGAAAUAGAGGGAAGGAAGCAUUUCAGUGCUGUUACAUCCAGAAGAAGUUACUGUGCUGUUUCCCUGUCAUCAGUGUUGCUGUUCACUUAACAAAAUAACCACUCAGGCCAGUGCUCUCAUACAGCGCUCUGGAUUUUGGUGUAGGCAAGCAAUUAAAAAAACCAAAAA